UACGGAGGGUGCAAGCGUUAAUCGGAAUUACUGGGCGUAAAGCGCGCGUAGGCGGUUUGAUUAGUCGGAUGUGAAAGCCCCGGGCUCAACCUGGGAAUUGCAUUCGAUACUGUCUGACUAGAGUAUGGUAGAGGGAAGUGGAAUUUCCGGUGUAGCGGUGAAAUGCGUAGAUAUCGGAAGGAACACCAGUGGCGAAGGCGACUUCCUGGACCAAUACUGACGCUGAGGUGCGAAAGCGUGGGGAGCAAACAGG
rnacentral:rRNA from 1 species